GAGGCGCGUACCGCCAGACCGAGCUGUGCGCAGAGGUGGCCGAGCGGGCGGGAGCGCGGUGGUCCCUCAGUGGCGGUGCGGUAGCUUAAGUAAUAAAAAGCUAGACAGACUGUUCAGUGCCACUCCUCAGCUCUGACUGAAGCCAAAGAAGCACAUGCCUCCUCACAGCAUUUUGCAUGUAGGCGAAGACUCAUCAUCUUCGAAGUGUGGAAAAGGCCACCCGGCAAAUACCAACAUCAACCACCCCGCAUCCAGAGGAAGGUCCCAGGAGAGGCAGAUCUCUGACCAGGCCUAAUCCCCACCAGCAAGGAACAGUCAGCAGGUGUUGCCUUCCAGAAACAGAGGACAACAAGAAGGGAAAAUUUUGCUGCUCUGCAGAAAAGGAUCAAUCAUUAGGCAUGUUUCAGAUCCUAUGGUGCUGACUUUGUUUCUUAAGCUGCUUUUUGCACUUAUUCAGCUAAGUGCAAGAAGCCUGUGAAGCAGUUUGCUUGAAAUAAGUUGUAUGAGCAAUUAUACUUG
rnacentral:lncRNA from 1 species